rnacentral:rRNA from 1 species
UACAGAGGGGGCAAGCGUUAUUCGGAAUUAUUGGGCGUAAAGGGCGCGUAGGCGGCCUGGCAAGUGGAAGGUGAAAUCCCUCGGCUUAACCGAGGAACUGCCCUCCAAACUGCUUGGCUUGAGUCCGGGAGAGGUGAGUGGAAUUCCCAGUGUAGCGGUGAAAUGCGUAGAUAUUGGGAGGAACACCAGUGGCGAAGGCGGCUCACUGGACCGGAACUGACGCUGAGGCGCGAAAGCUAGGGGAGCGAACAGG